rnacentral:rRNA from 1 species
GAUGAACGCUGGCGGCGUGCCUAAUACAUGCAAGUCGAGCGAACAGAUGAGGAGCUUGCUCCUCUGACGUUAGCGGCGGACGGGUGAGUAACACGUGGAUAACCUACCUAUAAGACUGGGAUAACUUCGGGAAACCGUAGCUAAUACCGGAUAAUAUAUUGAACCGCAUGGUUCAAUAGUGAAAGACGGUUUUGCUGUCACUUAUAGAUGGAUCCGCGCCGCAUUAGCUAGUUGGUAAGGUAACGGCUUACCAAGGCAACGAUGCGUAGCCGACCUGAGAGGGUGAUCGGCCACACUGGAACUGAGACACGGUCCAGACUCCUACGGGAGGCGGCAGUAGGGAAUCUUCCGCAAUGGGCGAAAGCCUGACGGAGCAACGCCGCGUGAGUGAUGAAGGUCUUCGGAUCGUAAAACUCUGUUAUUAGGGAAGAACAAAUGUGUAAGUAACUAUGCACGUCUUGACGGUACCUAAUCAGAAAGCCACGGCUAACUACGUG